rnacentral:rRNA from 1 species
UGCGUAGCCGACCUGAGAGGGUGAUCGGCCACACUGGGACUGAGACACGGCCCAGACUCCUACGGGAGGCAGCAGUAGGGAAUCUUCCGCAAUGGACGAAAGUCUGACGGAGCAACGCCGCGUGAGUGAUGAAGGCUUUCGGGUCGUAAAACUCUGUUGUUAGGGAAGAACAAGUGCUAGUUGAAUAAGCUGGCACCUUGACGGUACCUAACCAGAAAGCCACGGCUAACUACGUGCCAGCAGCCGCGGUAAUACGUAGGUGGCAAGCGUUAUCCGGAAUUAUUGGGCGUAAAGCGCGCGCAGGUGGUUUCUUAAG